GGUGAUGUGGCAGCACAC
rnacentral:snRNA from 1 species